GCUCAUGCAGCCUGCCUGUCCCAGAAGCAGCCUGGGUUCACCAGGACAGGUGUCUGUCCUGUCCCACCAGUCAGGCUCAAAGUCUGUCCAGGAAGGCAAGUCCGACCCUCAGUCCUGGAGGGGGCCAUGCAGUGAGCUGGCAAAGACCUGUACAGGCUCAUCCAGGAAGUCUCGGCCCAGAGGCUGAAGGGUGGCCAACCAGCACAGUUUGCCCAGGAACGAGGUAGGGGAGGGGCGGGGGGCGGUUUCCUGGGAUGCGGGACUUUCAGUGCUAAGCUGGAAUGCCCUGUUCACCCUAGCUGAAGCCACUUGCUCAGAGCCGCACAGCAAGCCCACCACCCUGAACCUCCAGAUUACCAACUCAGCAUUGUGUCCUGACAGUGUCAUCAUAGAUGGUCAACACCGUCACCUGGGCAGCACUGAAGCCCAGAGCGGGAGAGACUGGCUCAAGACCAUGGGUAAGUCAGCAGCAAAGCUGGGGAAAGGAAACCACCAACCUGAGAGCCCCUGGCUGGUUCCCAAAUCCAGGCCCUUACUUCUCUUCCCCACCAUCCAGGGUGGGGGGCAGACACCCAGUGAAAUGGCCUGCCCCAAAGGAGGGGAGCCUUGCCGAGCCACCCCAGGCCACCUCAGACCCACACCCCCAGCUCAGCGGUUGGAGGGGCUGAGGAGGGGCUGAGCCGCCACCCCCUCCCCACCCCAGUGCCAGGGCCCCAGCCUUGCAGCGCUUGUCCCCAGCCCAGAUGAGCAGGGCGCCCUUAUCAGAUCUCCGUUUCUGUUUCUCUCCUCUGGCUGCUUCUGCCUGGCCCUGCCCCCAACCCCGGUGGCCUUUUCCUCUCUGAAGUGAUGUUCCUUUUCCUGUCACCAACACACACAGCACACAGAGAAGUUUGUUUCUGUUGCUUUACAGCUGAGGCUCGGCCAAGGUUGCCAGGGUCCAAGCCUAUGGAUUUGUGGUCUGGGCUCUGCCAGUGGCAUGGCACUGUCUUCAAAGCUCCCACCCUACCAUUUUUCUUACCCACACAGGGCAGGCUCGACCCGUCCUCCUGCUGUGUGACCUUGAACAAGUUACUUAGCCUCUCUGAGCAUCAAAUGGCUUAACUAUCAAAUAAGAAGCACAGAGAAGUCCCCAAGAGCCAGUAGACUCUGGAGGCUGUGAGACCGGGGACUGGGGCUCCUGCAUCCUUAAUGAAGGUUUCAGUCUUGAGUCGCGUCUGGGAGACCUGCUGAAGCAAUGGGGAGCUACUGUAGGUGGGUAAACAAGGGAGAGUGUGAUGGAGGCCAUGUUCUAAAAGGAUUCUAUAGGCAGCAGAAGGGAGGAGGGCUCAGGGGAGAGGUGGAGGAGCUGCAGGGGAGAGGUGGAGGCUGGGAGGCCAACAAAGGAGGCUUUGACUUCCUUUUCAGAAAAAUAAGGCCACCCACCUCCCACCAGGAGCAAGAGUCAUGGAGGGAGACUGUCUCAGCUGGCCUGGCCUGGCUCCUGCCCAGGACAGAGAUCCCGGCCCCUGGACUCCUCCAGCAGCCCAGUGUAGGGGAGGAGUGCCUUCCUCCCCAUGCCCAGGGUAGCCCCUUGUCUGAGAGUGGUGGUUGUGGCAGGCCCUGCUGAGAACUGCAGUUUCAUUUCCCACUGACCUCCACCCACUGGACUCUCCCAGGCUCUUGUUUCAAGCUGCCUAGUGCUAACCCCAGCCCUUGAGCCAGCUCGCUCCAGCCUUUACCUCAGACCAGGGCACUGGGGCUGUGUGUAGGACUCACACCUCCCAGGUCU
rnacentral:lncRNA from 10 species